rfam:Sordaria macrospora k-hell, WGS project CABT02000000 data, contig: 2.4
GGCAAGGUGGCCGAGCGGUCUAAGGCGCCAGGUUCAGGUCCACUUGAAUUCGCUCUCACGAGUUUCCUGGUCUAGAAAUAGGCGCGAGUUCGAAUCUCGCCCUUGUCA